UACGUAGGGGGCUAGCGUUGUCCGGAUUUAUUGGGCGUAAAGAGCGUGUAGGCGGCCAGGUAGGUCUGCUGUGAAAACUCGAGGCUCAACCUCGAGACGUCGGCGGAAACCAUCUGGCUAGAGUCCGGAAGAGGAGAGUGGAAUUCCUGGUGUAGCGGUGAAAUGCGUAGAUAUCGAGAGGAACACCAGUGGUGAAGGCGAGUCCCUGGACAACUCCUGACGCUGAGGCACGAAAGCUAGGGGAGCAAACAGG
rnacentral:rRNA from 1 species